rnacentral:rRNA from 1 species
AUUGAACGCUGGCGGCAUGCUUUACACAUGCAAGUCGAACGGCAGCGCGGGCUUCGGCCUGGCGGCGAGUGGCGAACGGGUGAGUAAUACAUCGGAACGUGCCCAGUAGUGGGGGAUAGCUCGGCGAAAGCCGGAUUAAUACCGCAUACGACCUGAGGGUGAAAGCGGGGGAUCUUCGGACCUCGCGCUAUUGGAGCGGCCGAUGGCAGAUUAGCUAGUUGGUGAGGUAAAGGCCUACCAAGGCGACGAUCUGUAGCUGGUCUGAGAGGACGACCAGCCACACUGGGACUGAGACACGGCCCAGACUCCUACGGGAGGCAGCAGUGGGGAAUUUUGAACAAUGGGCGAAAGCCUGAUCCAGCAAUGCCGCGUGUGUGAUGAAGGCCUUCGGGUUGUAAAGCACUUUUGGCGGGAACGAAAAGGACUGUGCCAAUACCACGGUUCGAUGACGGUACCCGCAGAAUAAGCACCGGCUAACUACGUG